rnacentral:lncRNA from 1 species
UGCUUGCGAUCGCGGGCGCAAACCACUCGACUGACGCCGCUGCAAUAGUCGCUAUGUACUCGCCGUCACAUCACAAUGCAAGGCCAGGGAAGCCGACAAACAGUUUGAUCAUGGAGAAAUUUCUCCAUGGUUUGAUAUCCUGCAAGCCGAAACUAUAAUUAUUAUGAAGGUGUUUAAAGAAAUUUGGGAAACAACCGACAGUGCAAAAAUCCUGAUUUGGGUAAAGUAUUAAUUUAUUUGGCAUAGGACAGAAGAUCAAAGUGGUAAGUAUAGUAUUAGUAGUAAUGCAAGAAAUGUGCACUCAGUUUAUGUGUCGCCUAAUUAAACGAAGUUUUGGGAGACACUUUCCGGUUCUAAAUUGUGUAUGACCGUACGUCCGUAGUCGAGUCCCGUAGGAUUUACCGUAGAUCGGUCAUUGUUCAAAUACACUGAAAAUGUUUCUUUGUCGACAGGAUUUGAUGGAGUUAAUGUCACUUGGAUGGGGUGAUCCGUGGGUGGGGUUCAUCGCAACUCUUCCGAAAUUGAAAGUCGAAGGUCAUAUCCAGGGGUCAUUUGAUAACACAAAACAUAUACAUGUAGGGAUCGAGCGUGGAAAAAGGCGACACAUGUGGUCCGCGGACAACUUACUGUUUGACAAGAAAUGGAAGCAAGUCAAGUUUUGUUAUUGAGGGGUCGCGCUUAUAAUUUCCAUGCACAAAUUACAGAGGAAUAAAACAUACAGAAACAAUGCUUUUAUUCCUCCGUGGCUUAUGUGACUUUGUAGGGGAUAGCUCUUGACAAAAUGGUAUUUAUAAACAAUAUGUAUUGGCACAAACUUAGUAACUGAUUUAUUUCAAAUUAUUUUGCUUUCAUUCAAUAUGCAGAUGACAGCGGAAUCGGAGACAACUGAAGCUGAUUAUUUUUCGUGGUUUGGAACUGCAUCAAGGGUGUUUCAAAAUGAGGAGUAUAAAGCGUUAGUGAAUGAGACAACCUCAUAAUGUAUAUUGAGGACAUUGAGAACAGCAAUGAAAGAUAUGAGUGAAGCAAAUACUCCGAGUUAGGAGAAGGAAAUGGGCACAGCACAGAGGCAGUAUCCCUUGAGUUGGGGAAGCCAAGAAAGAUGUCUAGAGUAUCAGCCAAGACACACGGUAAACAACUUUACAGAGGAGAAUAAACAGGCAUGUUUGUCAGUACAGCCGUCCAGCUAAGUGACACUUAAAGAAAAGCCAGAGCCACCUGUUCCUUAUCAGAAAAACUGACCAUGGAUAGUCUCCAAUGAAACUGACCUGCUACGUGAUUGAUUACCUUCAGCUAGAGCUAUAGAUUAGAACUCCGACACAUGAUGAUGGGUCAAAGAAGAGGAAGAUGAGAUUUAAGAUGGAUUCAGCAGAAAGCAUCUGAGCUCCCUGAUCGAGAGAGUGAAUCUUCCAAGAAUACAAUUGUCCGAUUGUUAAGAAUUCUUGUGUAGGAUUGACAUCAACUUAAACCAAGGGGCACUCAAAGUUGAUUUUCAAACAAAACUUAACUUGAAAGAAGUAGAAACACCAAAAGUUCAGUGUUCUGCCAGUUAAAAAAAAAGUGGAUUAAAUUGCAAUGAGACUAAGUGUCGAGCAACAUUCUUGAUGAACCAGUCAUCAAGUAGAUGAAGUGAUUUGAUCAAGGAAUAUCCCUGCAAAUGUCCAUGGCUUGGGAGCAGCAAAUGUUGUGUUACGUCACCUAGUUACAACUUGAUGGUUUCCCCUGGCUUCGAGUUGGGAAUGAUAGAUUGCAUGUUUCUGUUUAUUACAGUCAGAAAGAAAACUCAGAUAACCUUUUCUUGAUGUUUUGCUUCAGUCCUCAGAAUUGCAUAUCAGGGAGUCAACACCUGAUGAUCAGAAUAGUAGCAUAAAAACAUCUGAAGUUAAGAAGCACCAACUGUUACAAUCUAGACUGAGAUGGAAGAUGAUCUGUCAUGAUGGAAGGUCACAGAUUCUUUGCAGACUAUCGAGUGAUUGAGAUUCAACAACAGCACAAGAAAGUAUCAUGAAAAGUUUAUGCAGUUCAGACUGAUGACUCUCCAGACUGUCAUCAGAGUUUUUGGCCAAGGUUGACGGUCUGUUCUUCGCAAAGUCUGACAGCACGAAAGCUAGAGGGCGCUGUCUAAGGAGGAGGAGGCGGGGCUUAGCGGGAGGGGUGCCGAACGUAUCCUUAAGCACAUAUGACUUUUCUUAUGGCAGUUUAUGCAGUUCAGACUGAUGACUCUCCAGACUGGCAUCAGAGUUUUUGGCCACGGUUGAUGGUCUGUUCAUCGCAAAGUCUGAAAGCACGAAAGCUAGAGGGCGCUGUCUAAGGAGGAGGAGGCGGGGCUUAGCGGGAGGGGUGUCGAACAUCAUACCCUUGACCACAUACUUUUCUCAUGGCAGUUUCUUAUGUAGUUUCGACUGCUGACUCGCCAGACUGUCAUCAGAGGUGAAAUUUUUUGGCAAAGGUUGACAGUCUGUUCUUCGCAGUCUGAAAGCACGAAAGCUAGAGGGCGCUCUUUGAGUAGAAAGAGGCGAGGCUUAGUGAUAGGGGAGCUGAACAACUUUUUUUUGUGACAGUUAUGCAGUCACAAAUGAUGGCCCUCCAGAUUUUCACCAGAUAUGCAAGACAUUUUUGGCCAAAGUUGACAGUCUGUUCUUCGCAAAGUCAGAAAGCGCGAAAGCUAGAGGGCGCUCCUUAACGAGAAAGAGGCGACGCUUAGUGAUACGGGAGUUGAACAUUCUGCAAACCAAAUUUACUUUUCUUGUGACAGUUUUGCAGUCACAACUGAUAACACUCCUGAUUUUCAUCAAAGGUGCAAGAUCUUUUUGGCCAAAGUAGAUGUCUGUUUUUCGCAAAGUCUGGAAGCACGAAAGUUAGAGGGCGCUCUCUAAGGAGAAAGAGGCGGGGCUUAGUGAUAGGGGUGCUGAACGUAUGUAAACCAAAUUUAACUUUCCUUGUGGUAGUUAAUUGUGCAUUCACAACUGAUGACCCUCCAGAUUUUCAUCAAAGGUGAACUUCUUUGCCAAAGUUGACGGUUUGUUUUGCGCAAGGAUAACGCGCAAAACCAUGCAUGUUUUAAUUACAAGCACCUUUAGUGAAGGUCUGUGCAUCAGCUUGGAUAAGUGUUUGACAAAAAAAUGUGUUCUUUCAGAAAAAGUAUUUGUUGUCAAUUUUUUUGACAAACAGUGAUAUAAAUAAUUAAAAUGGGACUGAGAUUAAGGUGGUUAUGCAUUUGAUGGAAGUGAGUCAAUCCUCAAUCAAGUGCCCUCAUACACUUUUAUAACUACAUUAUAGGCCUGAAACUAACUAUAAUAAGUUUGUGUUUUAAGCUUGAUUAACUCCAAUGUGUUUUAGUUUUGAAGGUCAGUGGCAGGAAUGUUAUCAAGCUUCAAAUAUCAUCACAUCAAUCGGGGUAGUAAACAAGUCACAAAAGCUACUCAGGUGAGCUGUGACAAAGGCAAACAUAAUUAUGUGAUUGUUCCUAUCUCAGAGAGCUGUGACUUUAAGUUUUCAUGCAAUUUCAUUUUGUGAUUGACUUGGGAUUCACUUAAUGCUUGUCACUUAUGGUUGUCUUGCCUUUGUCUUGAGGUUGACUUGUGACAGACGGGACACUGACUCUUGAUUGUCUAGUGACUGACUUACAUUGAUUUUGGGAUUGAAUUAUGAUUGUUCAGAUGUCAAUAAAAAGACAAACAUGUCAGCAAGAGAAAAUAUAAAUGUGAUGGCCUCACAUACUUUAAAAGAUUUAACUAGUACAACUGAUAAACAGACACUACACACAUGCACCAUACACACAUAGAAAGCUGCUGGCAAAAAUAAUGACAAUAUGAUCUUAUUCACAUCUGAAAUUUCAGCUUUUUUGCAUCACAGUUUCAGACAAUUCUGACAGCAUUUAUGUAUCUUCUUGAAA